CUGAAAAUGAGAUGCAGAAGUCAGUGAGAGCCUUUUUUUUUCUGAUCUCAAGGUCUUCCAAUUGCAAACGUUUCUGAAGGGAUGGGAUCUGUUGCUUAGAUUAAUAUUAGGUCAAGGUAUACUUAGGAGGAUUGUCACAUGGUGAAGAAUUACAUUCACUCCUACCUGGACACAUCUUUCUAUUUUGAACGCUAUUAUCAUCAGCAGCUAUUAGCUCGCUGCUGAUGCUGAUGUUACUCUUCUUUUACGUGCACUUGCUCCAAUUAUUUCUACUUGUGCUAACAGUAUGAUUUUCUACCACAUAUGUGAAACAGUUUAGGAAGUAUCUCUUAGACAUAUAAAGAGUAAUAAGUGUCAGAAUUUUAGCCAAAGAAAUAAAUGACUCAGAAAUUUAAGAACUCCACUAAUGUUUCUGUACCCUGGCUUAUUUGAAAUCUCUAAAGAAGUCAGACUGAAAAAAUGGGGAUUGGCCUCAAAAUUUUUGUCUCAUUUACACUUGCUUUUCAAUUUUAAAUAGACAAAAAGUAUUUUUCAAAACUAAUAGCCAUAAGUAUUUGUCAAGUCAUAAUAUUUUUUCUUGGCUAUGCAAGCACAGUAAUUUGUUUUUCAGAGAAGAUGCCCUAAGAUUUUAAAUCAGAAAACACACAGAAAUGUAUUAUUCUAAACAUGUCUAACUAAAACAUGAGCUGGAAUUUGUAGUUAUAUAUGAAAUUAAUUAACUAAAGGCAUGUAUUUAUCAACACAGUUUUCUGUUGCAGUGAUUAUUCAUACUGGACUUACAAAUGUAGAAGACUUAAGUUCUUCUGGGAGGAGGCAGGAUCACAACCAGGAGCACCAGGAGCAUCAUUCUUUCCUAUCCAGUAGCUGAUGAUGGACAGAGUGACAUUGUUUCCUCAGCACCUCUACAGAAAUAAAAUGGAUCAAGAAAGUCUUCA
rnacentral:lncRNA from 1 species